UCCUUGGAAGACUGUGAGCUAGUCUCCUAUAUACUAGCUGGACUUGAUUUGACUUAUGAUCCCUUAGUGAAUUCAGUGACCACUCGUGUUGAUUCUAUGUCUCUUGGUGAAAUUUGUGGUCAUCUUCUUAAUUACGAAG